AGUGAACGCUGGCGGUAGGCCUAGCACAUGCAAGUCGAACGGCAGCACAGUGAGAGCUUGCUCUUACGGGUGGCGAGUGGCGGACGGGUGAGGAAUACAUCGGAAUCUACUUUUUCGUGGGGGAUAACGUAGGGAAACUUACGCUAAUACCGCAUACGACCUACGGGUGAAAGCAGGGGAUCUUCGGACCUUGCGCGAUUGAAUGAGCCGAUGUCGGAUUAGCUAGUUGGCGGGGUAAAGGCCCACCAAGGCGACGAUCCGUAGCUGGUCUGAGAGGAUGAUCAGCCACACUGGAACUGAGACACGGUCCAGACUCCUACGGGAGGCAGCAGUGGGGAAUAUUGGACAAUGGGCGCAAGCCUGAUCCAGCCAUACCGCGUGGGUGAAGAAGGCCUUCGGGUUGUAAAGCCCUUUUGUUGGGAAAGAAAAGCAGCAGGUUAAUACCCCGCUGUUCUGACGGUACCCAAAGAAUAAGCACCGGCUAACUUCGUG
rnacentral:rRNA from 1 species